rnacentral:rRNA from 1 species
GAUGAACGCUAGCGGGAGGCCUAACACAUGCAAGCCGAGCGGUAUUGUUUCUUCGGAAAUGCGAGAGCGGCGUACGGUUGCGUAACACGUGUGCAACCUGCCUUUAUCUGGGGGAUAGCCUUUCGAAAGGAAGAUUAAUACUCCAUAAUAUAUUGAACGGCAUCGUUUAAUAUUGAAAGCUCCGGCGGAUAGAGAUGGGCACGCGCAAGAUUAGCUAGUUGGUGAGGUAACGGCCCACCAAGGCGAUGAUCUUUAGGGGGCCUGAGAGGGUGAUCCCCCACACUGGUACUGAGACACGGACCAGACUCCUACGGGAGGCAGCAGUGAGGAAUAUUGGUCAAUGGGUGCAAGCCUGAACCAGCCAUCCCGCGUGAAGGACGACUGCCCUAUGGGUUGUAAACUUCUUUUGUAUAGGGAUAAACCUACCCUCGAGAGGGUAGCUGAAGGUACUAUACGAAUAAGCACCGGCUAACUCCGUG